ACGGGGGGCCUACGGGAGGCAGCAGUGGGGAAUAUUGCACAAUGGGCGGAAGCCUGAUGCAGCGACGCCGCGUGGGGGAUGAAGGCCUUCGGGUUGUAAACUCCUUUCGACAGGGACGAAGCUUUUUGUGACGGUACCUGUAUAAGAAGCACCGGCUAACUACGUGCCAGCAGCCGCGGUAAU
rnacentral:rRNA from 1 species